UGAACGCUGGCGGUAUGCCUAACACAUGCAAGUCGUACGAGGGUUUUUAACUCUAGUGGCGGACGGGUGAGUAACACGUGAGAAUUUGCCUUUAGGAGGGGGAUAACAAUCGGAAACGAAUGCUAAUACCCCAUAUGCUUUCGAGUGAAACGGAUUUGUCCGCCUAAAGAGAAGCUCGCGGCUGAUUAGCUUGUUGGUAAGGUAAUGGCUUACCAAGGCGACGAUCAGUAGCUGGUUUGAGAGGACGACCAGCCACACUGGGACUGGGACACGGCCCAGACUCCUACGGGAGGCAGCAGUGGGGAAUUUUCCGCAAUGGGCGAAAGCCUGACGGAGCAAUACCGCGUGAGGGAUGAAAGCCUGUGGGUUGUAAACCUCUUUUCUCAAGGAAGAAGUUCUGACGGUACUUGAGGAAUAAGCAUCGGCUAACUCUGUGCCAGCAG
rnacentral:rRNA from 1 species